rnacentral:tRNA from 1 species
GCCUGAUUAGCAUAGUGGCUAAUGCGUUGCACUUGUAAUGCAAAGAUCGCAGGUUCGAUUCCUGCAUUAGGCA